rnacentral:lncRNA from 1 species
GAUUGAUAGGUGCUAGGUAGCCAGAGAACAGUGUGAAGAGCAUAAAAAGAAUGGGCAAGGCACAGCAGUAAAGAGACAGAGUGCUCUAAAUCCAAGAACUGUGCAUUAUUCUGCAUAGGUGAAGAGUAGAGUGGAUGUGGGAAGUCAUAAGGGCUGAGACUAGAGAUGUAGGCAGGGACAAGAUGAUGCAAAGUCUCAUACAACAUUCUGAGGAAGACGUUUACCCUGAAAGAGAUUUUCUGUCAACUGUCUUCAUUUUCACCGUAAGAUUGAUAAGGACAUUUCUAAUUCAUUGGGCAUAGCAUUUUACUUCAUAAAAUCUGCAGUUUAAUUUAGCCAUGCUACAUGGGAAGCUAAAACUUUCGAACCAGGAGGUGGUUCAACAAAGCAUCUUGAACUGUCCAAAGACCAGUUUGCCAGGAAAGCCGCUGUCUCAAGAAUAUCAAGGAGCGGAGUCUUUCCAGACCACAACUCCUCGCUCCAGGCGUUCGAAUCUGCCUCAAACAAAAGAGGAGACAACGGCGAAGGACGCCCCCCUGCCAUCCUCCUAUCUCACCAUGGCUCCCGCCUCGCUGCAAGCAGCCCCUCAAGGCCAAACGCAGGCUGGUGGGAAAACACCGACCUGCACAAGCUACAUGCGCCCUCUCCCCUACCCAAAACCCCGAAUAAAAAUCCCUACCCAUCCCUCAUCGGGGAGCUAGAAAUUUUUGAGGCAUGAGCCCCAGCUUUGCUCCCUAUGCCUGGCAUAGUAAAAAC